AUCCAGCCGACGAGUCCCAAAAAUAGGACGAAACGUGUCUUCUGGAU
rnacentral:hammerhead_ribozyme from 1 species